rnacentral:rRNA from 1 species
UACGUAGGCAGCGAGCGUUGUUCGGAGUUACUGGGCGUAAAGGGUGUGUAGGCGGUUGUUUAAGUUUGGUGUGAAAUCUCCCGGCUCAACUGGGAGGGUGCGCCGAAUACUGAAUGACUUCGAGUGCGGGAGAGGAGAGUGGAAUUCCUGGUGUAGCGGUGAAAUGCGUAGAUAUCAGGAGGAACACCGGUGGUGUAGACGGCUCUCUGGACCGUAACUGACGCUGAGACGCGAAAGCGUGGGUAGCAAACAGG